UUUUUUAUAGACUGGAUUUAUAUAUUUAUAACUAAAAUUAGGUUAAAUUUUUUUUUUACAGAGUUAAAUAUUUAGAUUGAUGAAAGAUGUAUAAUAGUGACAGGGAUUAGAUACCCCAUUAAUGUACAUUGUAGCUUUGUCUUAGUUAAUAUAACUAAAAUAAUUUGGCAGUGAGCGACUCUUUUUAGGGGAAGGUGUGGUGUAAAGGAUGUUCCGCCUAAUAAUUUACUUUCGUUAUGUUGGUGUAUAUCUGGUUUAAUAUUAUCGUUGAGUAAGUGAGUUUGUGUAGUUUUAUUUAAGCCAAGUCUAUGUGCUGCUUAUGAAAGUAUUCAUGCGUUACAUUUAUAAGGUUUUGGUUGUAAUACUAAAAUAUUUAGGACUUAAAAGUAAUGUU
rnacentral:rRNA from 1 species